ACUAUCCAGAAAUUAACCCACAAAGGUGGGAAGAGUAUUUACCCGCUAAUCUCUUUAUUCCCUCGCCUGACAAAAUAUCUGCAUUCCUGGGCGGCCUCAAGAAAUGAACUACAGACAUCUAUUCCCUUUGUGAUACCUCCUUGGAAUCAAAGUGUGGAGUGUAACAAUGUGCCUCCACACACUCACACUAGUUGAUGCUUCAUCUUGGUGAAAUCAAGUUUUUGGAAUUACCUUUCCUAAGAUCAUUCUAUUCACAGAGAAGGAGCUUAAUGUAAGUGAAAUUUUGUAAAAACCAAAGGAAACUAUGGUGGAUGUAUUCUAGACAGAAGAAGGAUUAAACCAAGAUAAAAACAAUGUGAAUGAGGAAAGUGGGAGUAACAGGGAUUCCAAGAGAAAGAAGGAGAACUGGUAAUUGAUGUGGGGCCAAACAGCACAGUACAGCAGAAAGGAUCUAAAUUUGGGAAUUAUACUGAGAUUUUCCAUUUGUCAAAAAUGAGGAGUACUAAUCAGUAGUGCUAUGGAAACAAGACACUAACAGUUAUAGUCCGGAAGAAGAGAUGAUAACAUCUGUCCCUAAAAAGAGGCAGCACAGCAUGGAGAGAGAUACUUCUGCUUGGGUGAAGGAGAAAACAGUGAGUACAAGACUUUGCCUCAGAUCCCAACACUCAGUGUUGGGCAGCACCCAUGACCCCAGACUUCAGGCCAAUACCUACUGACUAAGCCUCUGGGUUGGUUCCAAUGCCAGGCCAGAUCCCACAACUCCAGACUCCAGGCUUGUUCAGCAUACUUGGUCUCUGGGCCCACAGCAACACCAGGCCAAACCCAAUGGCACCAGAGGACCCAGCCUCCAGACUGACCCCUUUGGAUACAUGUUCUAGGCUGAUCCAGCAUCAGGCCAGCCCCUGUGAUCCUUGGCUCCAGGCUCACCUCAAGUUCCAACUCAGCUCUGACAUAUGUCAACCCAUAUAGCCCCAGGCCUCAGGCCCAUGCCAGUGCCAGAUAAACACCCCUAGCCUCAGGCACCAGACUGGCACCUGUAGAUACAGGCUCGAGGCUUGCACAAUGCUAGGCUAGUCCUUGCAGUUCCACACUCUAGGCCAGCCCCUGUGACCCCAUGCUCCAACAGAACUAGGGUACAGGCUUUCUCUAGAAGACCCAGGAUCCAGGUUUGCCCCAGUAGACUUUUACUAGGAUAUCUCCCACGGACUCAGGCUCUAGGACUGCCUCCUGUGGAUCAGGUUCCAAGUCCACCUCCACAACCCUAGAACCAAGGCCAGACUUUGCAGGCCUAGCUUCCGAACCAACUACUGCACAACCAGCCUCUCUAAACCAAGGCUCUAGGCAUUAGGAUAGCACCUAUGAUGCCAGGCUCCACAGUAGCCCUUAUGGGUCCAUUUUCCAUGUCUGUCCCAGUACCAGGCUGCACCUAGGCUCCAGGCCAGUCUUCAUGGCCUCAGACUCCAGAGGAUCCAAAGUCCAGUACUACUCUGGCAUAUCUAGACUACAGGCCCGCCCCAGUAGACCCUGGUGUCAGGCCAACUACCAGAGAGAGACUGAAGCUCCAAUGCCACCCCCACAGGCCCAGGAUCCAAGCCAGGCCAACCCCCAUGGGCCCAGAACCCAGAUCUUCCUGAACAGACUCAGGCUCCAGGCCUACUUCAGCACCAGGUCAGCCUGUGAACUCAAGCUUCAGGCUUGACCCACUGGACCCAAGCACCAGGAUAAUUCUAGCACCUGACUGACCUCUAUAGACUCAAGCUCAAGGUCAGUCCCAGAGUCAAGUUAACUGCUGUGGAUUUAAGCUUUAGGAUGGCCCCAGGAGAUGAAGGCUCCAGGUCUACCCUCACAUACUCUUGCUCCAGAUAUAUCUCCACAAACCCAAUCAAAAUAUCCACUCCAGUGAGUCCAGGUUCCAAACUCAACCCAGCUGACCCAGAUAACAGGCCCACUCACCUGCUAAACCAAGCACCAGACCUGCCUAUCUGAGGACCCCAGCAACAAGCCAGCCCAUGAACCAUGCCAGACAGCCUGCUCAGAAUCUCUGGAUGGGCUGAUUGGUAAAGGGUUUUCGCAGACACAGUCAAUCUGCAGAGAUGGUAAUAACUCCGAACUUCUACAAUAAACAGACACCAAUACUAAGCCACAAAAAUUAAGACCAAUCGGGAAACAUAACACUACCAGAGAAACAAAAUAAAACACGAGUAACUGACCUUAAAGAAAUGGAUAUUUAUGAGCUCCCCAAUUUAAAAAGAAAUUCAAAAUAAAUGGUUUACAAAAGCUCAGUGAAAUUCAAGAAAAUACAAAGAAGCAAUUAAAUAAAAUCAGAAAAAUAAUAAACAACUAAAAUUAGAACUUAGAUACACUGAGUGGCGAUUCCUUAGGGAUCUAGAACUAGAAAUACCAUUUGACCCAGCCAUCCCAUUACUGGGUAUAUACCCAAAGGACUGUAAAUCAUGCUGCUAUAAAGACACAUGCACACGUAUGUUUACUCCGGCACUAUUCACAAUAGCAAAGACUUGGAACCAACCCAAAUGUCCAACAAUGAUAGACUGGAUUAAGAAAAUGUGGCACGUAUACACCAUGGAAUACUAUGCAGCCAUAAAAAAUGAUGAGUUCAUGUCCUUUGUAGGGACAUGGAUGAAAUUGGAAAUUAUCAUUCUCAGUAAACUAUCGCAAGAACAAAAAACCAAACACCGCAUAUUCUCACUCAUAGGUGGGAAUUGAACAAUGAGAACACAUGGACACAGGAAGGGGAACAUCACACUUUGGGGACUGUUGUAGGGUGGGGGGAGGGGGGAGGGAUAGCAUUAGGAGAUAUAUCUAAUGCUAAAUGACGAGUUAAUGGGUGCAGCACACCAGCAUGGCACUUGUAUACAUAUGUAACUAACCUGCACAUUGUGCACAUGUACCCUAAAACUUAAAGUAUAAUAAUAAUAAAAUAAAAUAAUUAAAAAAAAAUCUUCUGACAAAUGAGGAUGGACACACAACUAUGAAAACUUAUGCAAUCUAGCAAAAGGAGCUCUAAAACAGAAGUUUGUAACAUAAACCCCUACAGCAAAAAAACAAGGAUAUGAAAUCAACACCCGAAUCUUAUAAUUCAAAAAACAGCAAACUAUAAUCCUAAAGUUAGAUGUUAAAAAUUAAUCAAGAUCAGAACAGAAAUGAAUAGAGACUAGGAAAAACAACAGAAAAUAUCCACAAAAUUAGAUGUUGGUUUAUUGACAAAAAAAAAAAAAAAAAAAAAACAAAGGAAGAAAAAUAAAACUUCAGCUGGACAAAA